CUUAAAAUGCAGCCCAUACCCUUCUUCCCCCACCCCCCCGUCACCAAACAAAAUAUUUUAACAAUCUAGUAAAGAAGAUUAAAAAAUUUCUAAGAGCCUCACCAUUGUACCGCAAGGGAACCAUGAAAUAAAAAUGAAAUAGUCAAAAGCAUAAGACAGUAGAGAUUAACUCUCGUACCUUUUGCAUCAUGGUUUAGCUAGUCUACAUAGGCAAAAAGCCCUUAAGUCUAUCGCCCCGAAACUAAGUGAGCUAUUUUAGGGCAACUUAUGAGUAAACCCGUCUAUGUUGCAAUAUAGUGGGAAGACCUUAAAAUAGAAGUGACAAACCUAACGAACUUAGUUAUAGCUGGUUUCUCAAGAAAUGAAUGUUAGUUCAACCUAAAGCUAUUUAAAUAUAAAUAAAUACUACAUCACCCCUUUAGAGUAACUCAAACAAGGUACAGCCUGCUUGAUAUCGGGUACAACCGUUACUUACGGGUCACACAAAAUUAACUGCACCAAGUAGGCCUAAUAGCAGCCACCUUUUAAAGAGCGUCAAAGCUUAUACAUGUUUAUACUAAUCCCCAAACCCCCGUGGACCCCUAUAACCUUACUGAGAAAUUCCAUACCGCUAUGGAAAUUUUUAUGCUAAAAUUAGUAACAAGAGCUAAAACUCUCUUUAAUGUAAGUGUAAGCCACCUGGACCAACCAUUGGCAAUUAACAGACACAAAAUAGUAACUAACCUAGAAAACCCUACUACAUCAACUGUUAACCUAACACUAGAACAUCACCAGAAAGAUUAAAAGAUAAAGAAGGAACUCGGCAAACACUUUAAACCCCGCCUGUUUACCAAAAACAUCGCCUCUCGAAAUCAUUAGAGGUCCAGCCUGCCCAGUGACUCUUGUUCAACGGCCGCGGUAUCCUAACCGUGCGAAGGUAGCGUAAUCACUUGUCUUCUAAAUAGAGACUAGUAUGAAAGGCAUCACGAGGGUUUAACUGUCUCCUCUAUCUAAUCAGUGAAAUUAAUCCCCUCGUGAAAAAGCGAGGAUCCCCCUAUAAGACGAGAAGACCCUAUGGAGCUUAAAACAUCUUACACGUGUCCCCCCCCCCUUUUACCUUGACACGCUGAUUUUAUGUUUUUGGUUGGGGUGACCGCGGAGAAAAUCUCAUCCUCCGUAGUGAAAGGAAUAAUCCUUAACGACGAGCUACAACUCUAUGUACUAGUACACUAACACCUAUUGACCCAUGAAUUGAUUAAUGAACCAAGUUACCCUGGGGAUAACAGCGCAAUCCACUUCAAGAGCCCCUAUCGACAAGUGGGCUUACGACCUCGAUGUUGGAUCGGGAUGCCCUAGUGGUGCAGCCGCUACUAAGGGUUCGUUUGUUCAA
rnacentral:rRNA from 1 species